CCUGCCCCUAGAGGUGUUACAGGUGUAGUUUCUGUGUCUUAUGUGCAUUUGUAGAUGGCAAAGAGGAGAGAGGCUAUGUCUACACUCAAUGUUCUGACUUAUGAACAUUUGAAUGAUUAAUAAUCCACGUU
ensembl:snoRNA